CAGUCGCCGCGGGAAUACGUAGGUGGCAAGCGUUGUCCGGAAUUAUUGGGCGUAAAGGGCUCGCAGGCGGUUUCUUAAGUCUGAUGUGAAAGCCCCCAGCUCAACCGGGGAGGGUCAUUGGAAACUGGGAAACUUGAGUGCAGAAGAGGAGAGUGGAAUUCCACGUGUAGCGGUGAAAUGCGUAGAGAUGUGGAGGAACACCAGAGGCGAAGGCGACUCUCUGGUCUGUAACCGACGCUGAGGAGCGAAAGCGUGGGGAGCGAACAGGAUUAGAUACCCCGGUAGUCCCUGUCUCUUAUAC
rnacentral:rRNA from 1 species